GCUGUCUCUGGAUUCGUACGGUUGUUCUGUUCUGGUAACCUGAUACUGCUAUGAGGAGCAGACAGAGUGGGAGGAUGAGGCACCCGAGCUACCUUCAGAUGCAUUUGCUGGAGUACCAAAAGCAGUACAACCACAGGGUGAUGUUGUUGAUGCCACUUAUCAAUGUGCUUAUCCUUGUUGCCAGAAGGUGAGUUAACCCUAUC
rnacentral:lncRNA from 14 species